AAGGUUUGGUUGAGGCUGUUAGUGCUUUAUUUCUAGGAAGCCCACACAAAUAUUGUUUUAGACACAUGUUCAAGAAUGUGAAGACUCACUACAAGGGUUCAAAGAUACAUAAUCAUAUCUGGAAUGCUGCUAAAGCCUAUAAGUUCACCCACUUGAAGUUCCAUAUGGAUGCUUUGGUGCUGGAAAAUGCUGCUGCUGCUCAGUAUAUGAUGAAUGAGGAUCCACUACAACAUUUUUGCCGAAU